CGGGCCGUAGCCAAAUAGUAAGGCCUCUUGCUUACACUAAGAACACUGCCUGUGCAACUCAGGCCGACCCGC
rnacentral:tRNA from 1 species